GUCCCACCACCAAUUGGAAGUCACUAUAGAUUUGGAGCCGAUUUACUUUUAAUUCUUUGGCGAUCCUCAGUCCUGCAAUCAGAGCAUUAUAUUCUGCUCCAUUAUUUAUCAUAGAAAAUUUGAAGCGCAGUGCGUACUCCAUGAUAACUCCUUCCAGAUUGACCAAGAUCAGGCCCGCACCCACGUCUAACAUGUUGGAGGAAUCGUCCAUAUAGAGAGCCCAAAGACCAUCAGGGAG
rnacentral:lncRNA from 1 species